rnacentral:rRNA from 1 species
CCUACGGGAGGCAGCAGUGGGGAAUAUUGCACAAUGGAGGAAACUCUGACGCAGCGACGCCGCGUGAGUGAAGAAGUAUUUCGGUAUGUAAAGCUCUUUCAGCAGGGACGAUAAUGACGGUACCUGCGAAAGAAGCUCCGGCUAACUUCGUGCCAGCAGCCGCGGUAAUACGUAGGGGGCAAGCGUUAUCCGGAUUUACUGGGUGUAAAGGGAGCGUAGACGGUAUGGUAAGACAGUAGUGAAAGCCCGGGGCUCAACCGUGGGAUUGCCAUUGAAACUAUUAAGCUGGAGUGCAGGAGAGGUGAGUGGAAUUCCUGGUGUAGCGGUGAAAUGCGUAGAUAUUAGGAAGAACACCAGUGGCGAAGGCGGCUAACUGGACUGCAACUGACGCUGAGGCUCGAAAGCGUGGGGAUCAAACAGGAUUAGAUACCCGAGUAGUC